GGAAGGUGCAAGCGUUAAUCGGAAUCACUGGGGCGUAAAGCGCGCGUAGGCGGUCAGAUAAGUCGGGUGUGAAAGCCCUGGGGCUCAACCUGGGGAACUGCAUUCGAUACUGUCUGACUAGAGUGUGAUAGAGGGAGGCGGAAUUCCGCAUGUAGCGGUGAAAUGCGUAGAGAUGCGGAGGAACACCAAUGGCGAAGGCAGCCUCCUGGAUCAACACUGACGCUGAAGCGCGAAAGCGUGGGGAGCAAACAGGAUUAGAUACCCUGGUAGUCCACGCCGUAAACGAUGUCAACUAGCCGUUGGGAGCAUUUUGGCUUUUGGUGGCGUAGCUAACGCGAUAAGUUGACCGCCUGGGGAGUACGGUCGCAAGAUUA
rnacentral:rRNA from 1 species